CCCAGAAUUCCUUAGCUGACAGUGCUGGUUGUUCUGUUGUGUUUGUUUGCUUUUGUUUUUUGUUUUUUGUCAACUUGACACAAACCCAGGCGUACACAUGGGAAAUGAAAAAUCUGAGGCUCUGCCUUCAUCGAAUUGUCCUGUGGACAUGUAUGUGGGGCGUUUUCUUGAUUACUAGUUGACAUGGGAGGGCUCAGCUCUUUGUGAGUUGUUCCUGCCCUAGGCAGGUGUUUCUGGGGUUGUAUAAAAAAAAGCAGGCUGAGCAAGACAUGGAGAGGCAGGUAGUAAGAAGCAAUUGAUCGAUCCUCAGGGCCUUUCCUUCUGUUCCUGUUUUCAGGCUCCUGCUGUGAGUUCCUGUUGGCUUCCCUCUAUGAUAGAUUCUAACCUGUGAGAAUAAACCCUUUCCUUCCUGGAGUUUUAAUUAAAACCAUUUGAUCAAUGCUUAUCACAGCAAAAGUGCACUCCUGGGGUCUUGACUGUCCUUGUUGUGGGCAAGGGCAAGCAAUUUGCUGGACCCUGGCCUGAAGCCCAGGUAGGCCUUUGCAAACCUGGGUUUCCAGGAUCCCAGGUCCCCUGAUGUGAACUUCUGGGAGUCCAACAUGGGCUCUUCCUUGUGAGUGAUGGCUCUGGGGAGCUCGGCCAGUCCUUUUUCUAGGUGGACCAUAAAUCCUUUCCCAAUGCUCACUCUUCAUGAAGAUCAAAGUUUCCUUAGACAUGAUCUUCCUGGAAGGACCACUCAGAUGCUAGACUCACUUUAUGCCAAAUAAGCCUACUUGGAGCAGUGGUAGCUCUGGCCUGUCAACCCCACCCCAACCCCCACCUUGGGAGUUUGAGGCAGUGACCAAGGGUUCUAGGCUGUGUGGGGAGCUCCUGUCUCAAAUCACCUGAAACCAACCAAGCAAAAAAGCUGUGAGGGUUUCUCUCCCCCAUACCUGUAAGAAUGUACAGUCCUGGUUCUAACAGUGCUCACCAUAGGAGACUUCACUUGGCAACUGGAGAAAGUUUUAUGUCAAGAUACUUCUGUUCUCUGAUUGCUUGGGAGUUGGAUAACAAUCCCAUUUUUAUUGGCCAGCUGGGUUCUUGUCACGUUCUUUUUCAUCUUCAGUUUUAGUUAAAUGCCCUUUUAUUGAUUGAAAACAGCUUUGGCAACAAGACCCCUUCCUAUGGACAUAGAGUGAAUGUAUGGUAUCUCUUUCUUACAUUCUUAUCUUCCUGCUGCUUUCCCUUUUUUGGUCUGGGCAAUAAUACCAGUUGUCUUCUGUUUGAAACAAAAAGAGUUGAAAUAAGUCUGCUGGGGACCAAAAGUGAUUGUGUGGUAGGUUUUAAGUUUCAUGAAAUAAGUACUGGUGAUAAUGAACCAAGGCGGGAGGUAGAAGCUGCAUGGUCAGAGUCAGGGUGAAGGAGACCAGAGGCAGAGGUGAGGGCUCUGUGGCUCAGCACCUCAGCCUGCAAACCCACCUCGGGAGCGGAAAGGCUUGCCCGCUGGCAACAGUGUUAUCUUUUCUCCUGCUGCACUGCUGGUUAACUCUUCUGUUUUGGUAACAUGUUGAAGAUAUGUAGUUAGAAGAUAGCAGUUGGAUGGAUGACUACACAGGCUGACUUCUGUAUCAAAUAAGCAAGAAGCAAAAACAAUAUCUAGAUAUGAGCACAAGAGAUGGAGUGAUGUGAGAAUCUACAUGCAGUCCACAUAGAUACAUUCAGACGUCUGCAUUGGCAGAGGAAAAGGAAGAAGAAAGAGAAAGGAAAGAUGUAAAUGGUAGUUUAGCAUCCUAUUCUACCCAAGUCCUUUCUAGGAGUCAGGAGGUGGAGCUGGCCACUCUAACCUCCUGUGUGGUCUGUGUCAAUAGUAAUUUUUCAUACAGUGUGGAUCACCAAUGGCAACUUCCAUGCACUCCCUUGCUCUACCCUAGACCUUGAACCAAUACCGUACGGUACCCGUGAUCAUCAGAUACAGUACACUGCUGAUUCUGCCUGGUGUAGGUCAGUCCUGAUUUUAUGAAGCUGGGUCUUAUGUUUUCUGCAUGAAAAGUCAUUUGGAAUUCUGCAAAAGUAACUUUGAUCUUUUCUAAUUUUUGUGUUGUUCUAAUAUUUACACCCCACUCUCUUUAAUGGUAUAUGGAUUAGAAAUCCCAGAGCUAGUCUGAGGGCAUUUGAAGUCAUCUUUUCUUGUUCUUAACUUAGUUAAUGCAGAUAUUUUUCAUCCUGUUAGGAACAUGUCCUUCUAGUAUUGGUUCAUGAAGGGACUUUUUAUGAAGAAGAAUCAAUUCUGAAUGUUCUCAGGGUCUUUUCUGUUCUGAUUAAGACAUUCAUCUAUUUUUAUGUUUUGACUCAUUUUGUAAAUUACAUGCGUUUCUCUUAAUUUUCAGGCUUGCAUCCCUAGGGUAAAGAGAUCUUGGUAAUGGGGUGUUAUUAUGCACUUUUAGGUUUGAAUUGCUUAUAUUUCAUUUAUGAAUUUUACAUCUAUAUUCAUAAGUGAGAUUAGGCUUUUUAAAUUCUUGUCAAAUUUUGGAUUAAUAACCAACUUUCUUUUAUCUCAUCUUUCCUGUAUUAUUUCAUAGCAUCUGUUUUGACAUCUAAAAAGUUCCUCUCAAUUCUGUUAUAAUAUUUUUAGAAACAUGUUCUCUAUAAAGUAGAAGGCAGCAUGCCCUAUAACUCAGCAAUUCUCCCCUGAGGCAGAAACCGGUUCAGGCCUUAGCUUAUUAUGGUUCAGGUAGAUAUACAUAUGUGUGCUGAUAUGUGUUGUAGACAUACAUACAUGUGCUGUGAGACAUGUGUAAGGAUGCUCAUGGCUGCCAGUAGCAGCAUGUCAGAAAUUACUUACAUGCUACUAGUAGUGAAAUAUGUUUAUUAAACAUGUGCAAUUGUCCUAGAGACAGCUUUGGCCAGUAUCUCUCUUAAGCGGCUGAUGGGUGGAAAGCCCAGAGCUCUUGGUAAGCACAUUGUUUCAUUCAUCCUUGUUGCAUGUCAUCAACAAGGAGUGUGUGUGUGUGUGUGUGUGUGAAAGUCUCUGUAUGUAUGUCUGUAUGUCUGUGAUGGGCCUUAGUAAGAUAUAAACCAUCAUCUUAGAUUAUCUUAUAUUAUGUUUUAGAAUAAGGCCUAAGUUUUAUGUGUGUGUGUGUGUGUGUGUGUGUGUGUGAGAGAGAGAGAGAGAGAGAGAGAGAGAGAGAGUAUGUGUGCAUGCAUGUAGAAGCCAGAGGUUGAUGUUGGAUGCUUUAAGCAAUCACUCUCCACCUUAUUUUUAAAGACCACCUCUUACUGAACGUGGCACUUGCUGUUUUGACUAGAUCAUCUGGCCAAGAAGUUCUAGGAAUCCUCCUGUCUCUGCCUCCCAAGCUCUGGGGUUACAGGUAAGCACUGCACCCAGCUUUUAGGUCCUCAUGCAUAUGCAGCAGACUCUCACAGAGUAAGCCAUUGCCCCAGCUCUUUCACAUGUGCUAGCGUCUUUGCGACCACACAGCUAUUUCCAUUAGUCUCCACUAUGUGUUUAGUCCUUUCGUUAGGUAGCUUGUUGGUAUGUGCAGGGCUGGAGGACACUGGGCUCUAUUUCUUCCCCCACAGCCAAGAACCUGGAGCUUCAAGGAUGGAACUCCAGGACCCUGCUUACUGCUCAGAGGAGUGGAACUUGGACAUCCUAAAAGGCGUCCUGAACUGCUAGUUAGUAACCCAGCCCCGGAGCCCCACACUCUACAGAUUACUGUGCUUCUGGUAAAGAGCAAUCCUGAAACAUUGCCUUCUUCUAUAGUAGUUCAACCAAGCCAUCUGGUCUACCACCUGCACGGACAAGGCCACUCAGGGACGGCUGUUUGUUUUAGAGAUUUUAGAAGCAGGAUAAAGCUGGCCUAAAAUUAGAUUGACAGUGUUUUUUGGCUAUUGUCCACUCUCACUCCUGAAGAGCAUUUUCUGUUUUGCCUUGUGAUAAACUCUGUCCUCUACAGGCCAAAGUUCAGGCAACAUUUCUGCCAGCUACAAUUAUCUUCCCUUCAUCUUUGUUGUGGUAGAUCACGGACUCCCUUCCUGAUGUUGAAACCAUGACCUUUUUGGCCAUUAUUUCCCUCUGUAGAUGCGUUGCUGAAUCCAGGAUCUGCCUUGCUGGUCUACUGCAGAGGGCACGUGUUCUUUCUCCACAUGUGUUUCAGCUGACUGAUACGCCUGUGCUAACCCAGCUCGGGGUCUCAGAGGGGUGGCUGCUCACAGGUCACAGUCCUUCCUGUGUCCUAUUUCCAAGCAAGGAGAGUACUGUACUUCCUAUGCCGAAUCAGGGACAUGAUACUAGACCCCCAAGUGGUGGGUCUUUAUUUAUUUUUUUAAUGCAUUCAUUUUUCGUAAUGUACUACCCGGGUCCUAUAGGGGAACGCCAUUUCUCCCUUGCAGCCCUUAGCUUCUGAUAUGCUGUGACCAGGACAUGUGACACAUUCCCUUUUGGGUUUAGUUUUGGUCUUCCUAGAACCUGUUAGGAAAGAAGCUCAUGAUGUGGCUGUAAGUCAACCUUGCCUUCACUAUGUACCGAGAAAAGUAGAAGUUGACUUCUUCUAGCCAAGGAGACUCUGGGCAAAGCAAGAUAUCUGGAACAGGAUCCUUAGGUAUUUCUUCCCAUCACUGUUGUUUCUUUGAGACAGGGUUUCUCUGAGUAGCUCUGGCUAUCCUGAAACUUGUAGAUCAGGCUGACCUGGAACUUAUAUAUCCAUCUACCUCUGCCUCCCAAGUGCUGGGAUUAAAGGUGUGGGCCUUGCCAGACACCCGCUGCUGUUCCUGAUAGGGUUGGAGUAGAAGAGGACCUCUCCAUGUGCUCUGUGCAGUUCCUCUAGCUGGGGAACUCCCUCUGGGUUCUCACUGAGUUGUUUUCCCAUACAUGGGAUGAGUUUUAUCACCAAACUUUCAAGAGAGAGAGGUUGCCUUGGCCUGGGAGGUUUUGUUUGUAAAACCUCUUUGAUAGCUGGGGGAAUGGUCAGAAGUAAAAAAACAUCCAAAUUUAUACAGUGUUACCAGAGGACUUAAAGAGAUGGAGGUACCAGCAGCAGGCAGGACUUCAUGAAAACCCCGUUGCUUGCUAAGGUGGUCAUGUGACUAUGCUCUGGCUUUGGGGUGUAUAUACAUUUGCUGUGUGGAAGCAGGAUAUAGUUGUGAAGGAAGUGCUGUAGCUAUGUUAGUGGAUCAUGAGGAUGAAACCAAGUCAUGGAGAAGGCAGAGGGUGAGCUGGGUCUCAGAGGGUCCUUAUAUCCUGUAUACUGUGUACAUACGUAGAAUGGAUGUAUAUAUAAUGCAUGAAUGUAUGUAUAUGUAAUAUAUGUAGAAAGACAUUCAUUGUAUACAUGUGUAUAUAUACAAAUAUAAAAAUUUCAUUUUGUUCUUGUUUGAUGUAUGUAUGUAUGUAUGUAUGUAUGUAUGUGUACUACAUGUGUGUAGUGCCUGUGGAGGCCAGAAGAGGGUAUUGAAUCUCUUGGAACCAGAGUUCCAGUUGGCUGUAAGCCUCCGUGGUAGGUGCCUGUGUGCUGAACCUGGUCCUCAGUAAGAGCAGCAAGUGGCCUUAACCACUGCGCCACCUUUCCAGUCCCUAUUUGAUUUUGAGACAGCACAUCCCUAUACAUUCCAGGCUGAACUUGAACUUGUCUUCCUCUUGCCUCAGCCUCUCUAGUGCUAGAAUUUCAGGCAUGUGCCACCAUGCCCAGCAGGAGAGAAACAAGUUUAAUCUUGUUUCAGUGAUUGCCUUUAAGUUCUAUAAUGGUAGCUGCACUAAUCCCACCCAUCAACAGAUAACAAGCAGUAAGGACUGUUAACUGGAGGCCACAGGGUGCCAUGGCCACAAACAGUGUGGAGCUGUCUCAGUCCUCCCUCACCCGAUUUUUUGAGAGCAGCAAUUGGAUGAACUCUUUUUAGACGCC
rnacentral:lncRNA from 1 species